rnacentral:rRNA from 1 species
UACGUAGGUGGCAAGCGUUGUCCGGAUUUACUGGGCGUAAAGAGCGCGCAGGCGGUCGUCCAAGUCGCGUGUGAAAGCCCCCGGCUCAACUGGGGAGGGUCACGCGAUACUGCUCGACUUGAAGGCAGGAGAGGGAAGUGGAAUUCCCGGUGUAGUGGUGAAAUGCGUAGAUAUCGGGAGGAACACCAGUGGCGAAGGCGGCUUUCUGGCCUGUUCUUGACGCUGAGGCGCGAAAGCUAGGGUAGCAAACAGG